UCGGGAAUAGUAGUGUAAUGCU
rnacentral:miRNA from 9 species